rnacentral:rRNA from 1 species
AUUGAACGCUGGCGGCAUGCCUUACACAUGCAAGUCGAACGGUAACAGGUCUUCGGAUGCUGACGAGUGGCGAACGGGCGAGUAAUACAUCGGAACGUGCCUAGUAGUGGGGGAUAACUACUCGAAAGAGUGGCUAAUACCGCAUGAGAUCUACGGAUGAAAGCAGGGGAUCGCAAGACCCUGUGCUACUAGAGCGGCCGAUGGCAGAUUAGGUAGUUGGUGGGAUAAAAGCUUACCAAGCCGACGAUCUGUAGCUGGUCUGAGAGGACGAUCAGCCACACUGGGACUGAGACACGGCCCAGACUCCUAUGGGAGGCGGCAGUGGGGAAUUUUGGACAAUGGGCGCAAGCCUGAUCCAGCAAUGCCGCGUGCAGGAUGAAGGCCUUCGGGUUGUAAACUGCUUUUGUACGGAACGAAAAGCCCUGGGUUAAUACCCUGGGGUCAUGACGGUACCGUAAGAAUAAGCACCGGCUAACUACGUGCCAGCCGCCGCCGUAACAC